CCUCCACGCCUCCUUGUUCACGUGCCACGGCAAAGGGUGAAAUCGUUCACGGGCUCGCGCCGAGCUCCUAGAUAAAAUGCCCCGACGACGGCCGUCAGGAUGAAAACACCGCCUUGUGCCUCCAUCGUCCCGAGGAUCGAUCGAAGAGCCAGACGUGCAGCGAUGAGCCGUCGCACCAGGCGCGGCGACCGGCGGCAGCAGCAGCCGCCGGCUCGUUCCACGACCGUGUCCAACAACCCGAUCUUCUUCGUGCACGACAGCCUCGACGACGUGCCGGGCGCCGCCGUCGCCAAGCCGCGCUGCCGCUGCCCCCGAGCAGGGCGCACCUGCAGCCAGCGGACUCUCGGCGGCCAGCCGGUUCCACGUUCAUGGCGAGCCGGCACGGGAGCGGCUGGGUCCUGAGGAGGGUGCACCACCACGACCCGUUCCUCGCCGCCUACGUGGCCUGCACCAAGAGCGGCGGCAAGGUCGACGCCGCUCCGGCGAAGGGGCAACAGAAGAAGAACAGGGGCAGAGGCGAUGCCGCUGUUCAGGGGUGCGGCAUUUGGAGCGGUUGGACGGCGGCGGGAGCCAAGUACGCCGGGGUGAUGUCGUGUAAGUACGGCUGCGACGUUGCCACCGCGCAGGGCGACGAUCCUGCGGCGUCCCCGGCGCCCAGGCUGCACCUGUCGCGGCAGCUGGUGGUGAUCCCGGCCAGGAAGAGGGCCCUGCCGCCACGGGGCGGGGCGCAGGGCUGAGGGAGGGUGCUGUACUUGUGUUUGUUUCUGGUGCUGUGUGGUGCACCACCACGUACAUAACCAAUGUAACAAUACCACUGCAGUGUGUAAAAUUGUGCAGAAACAGAUAUAUAAACUUGUACUAUGUGUA